rnacentral:rRNA from 1 species
AUACGUAGGGGGCGAGCGUUGUCCGGAAUGAUUGGGCGUAAAGGGCGCGUAGGCGGCCCGGUAAGUCUGGAGUGAAAGUCCUGUUUUUAAGAUGGGAAUUGCUUUGGAUACUGUCGGGCUUGAGUGCAGGAGAGGUAAGUGGAAUUCCCAGUGUAGCGGUGAAAUGCGUAGAUAUUGGGAGGAACACCAGUGGCGAAGGCGACUUACUGGACUGUAACUGACGCUGAGGCGCGAAAGUUUGGGGAGCAAACAGGAUUAGAUACCCUGGUAGUCCACACUGUAAACGAUGAAUGCUAGGUGUAGGGGGUAUCGACCCCUUCUGUGCCGCAGUCAACACAAUAAGCAUUCCGCCUGGGGAGUACGGCCGCAAGGUUGAAACUCAAAUGAAUUGACGGGG